GCCGAGGUGGCGAAACUGGCAGACGCUCAGGACCUAAAAUCCUGUGAGCUUUACGGCUCGUGUGGGUUCGAUCCCCACCCUCGGCA
rnacentral:tRNA from 2 species